GCCAGGUGUGGUGGCUCACACCUGUAAUCCCAGCACUUUGGGAGGCCGAGGUGGGUGGAUCACCUGAGGUCAGGAGUUCGAGACCAGCCUGACCAACAUGGUGAAACCCUGUCUCUA
rnacentral:SRP_RNA from 2 species